GCAAUGAUGAAAUUUCUUGGUUUUGAUCAGUACUGAAAACACACAACCAAUUCCUCUAAGAAGUUCUGAGCUC
ensembl:snoRNA small nucleolar RNA SNORD61